UACGUAGGGGGCGAGCGUUAUCCGGAAUUACUGGGCGUAAAGCGCACGCAGGCGGUUCGCCAUGUUUGGAGUGACAGUUGUCGGCUCAACCGACAAAGGACUUCAAAAACUGGUGAACUUGAGGACGAGAGAGGAACAUGGAACUCCAGGUGUAGUAGUGAAAUGCGUAGAUAUCUGGAAGAACACCAAUGGCGAAGGCAAUGUUCUGGCUCGUUUCUGACGCUCAGGUGCGAAAGCCAGGGGAGCGAACGGG
rnacentral:rRNA from 1 species